GCCACCGUAACUCAGUUGGUAAGAGCGGGGGAUUCCUAAUCCUCGUCUACCGCAGGUUCGACUCCUGUAGGUGGCGACA
rnacentral:tRNA from 1 species